rnacentral:rRNA from 1 species
UACGUAGGCAGCGAGCGUUGUUCGGAGUUACUGGGCGUAAAGGGUGUGUAGGCGGUUGUUUAAGUUUGGUGUGAAAUCUCCCGGCUCAACUGGGAGGGUGCGCCGAAUACUGAAUGACUUGGAGUGCGGGAGAGGAGAGUGGAAUUCCUGGUGUAGCGGUGAAAUGCGUAGAUAUCAGGAGGAACACCGGUGGUGUAGACGGCUCUCUGGACCGUAACUGACGCUGAGACGCGAAAAGCGCGGGGGAGCGAACGGGG